UUCUUUUAGGUAAACAUGCAAAGGAUUGAAGAAGCCAUGCAGCCAAAUUUUACAAAUAGGAUUGCAGCCUACGCUUUCCUCACUCCCUGUGUUGAAGUGAUUUCGUUCUGGUUUCUACCUUUUGUGAGGCAGGUGGAAGGCAAAGCACCAUGGUGACAGUCCAAACAAGGAAACCUAAAGAGUUUGGAUGCCACAGUGCAGCAUGACUACACACCAGGUCCAAAACUCAGAAUCCAGCAGCAGGUUAUGAUGGCAUAUCCAGGCCAUGUCUGGCCCCGUUGUUCAGGACACGCCAAAGAUUCUCACAGGUGGGCUGACUCCAGUGGGUCUGGAAGAUGGAACCUGAGAAGGAUUCAGAAGAAGGAAGCUCUAAACAGUCCCCUGCCAGACUAUCAACAGUAUCUCCACAGGCUGCUGGGCUCAGAGAGAGCCUCCUACUUCCUGCGUCCACCUACCAAGGAGCAGCCAGUAAGCCCUCGGGUGAAGCGCCUGCUGAUGUCUGGUUUAGGUGAGCGUAUGCUG